CUCCUUUUUGCAGACCUGCAGGUUGAUGUUGACAAUUUUGUCAACAGUUAUGGCAAAGCUGGAGCAGACAUGGAACAGAACUGCAGUAAGUUCCAUGCUGGAGAGGUUCUUUCAGCUUUAAGAUCAAAAGG